AUGGACUACCAUAUGGUUGACGGUAUCUAUCCUUCUUGGGAAACCUUUGUCAAGACCAUCGUUGAGCCACUUGGUCAAAAAAGGUCUCACUUUGCCCAAAAACAAGAAGCAGCUAGAAAAGAUGUCGAGAGGGCAUCUGAAGUUAUCCGGACCCGUUUUGCAGUUGUUCAUGGACCUGCUCAACAAUGGGAUCCGGAGACCUUGUGGGAGGUGAUGACAUGUUGUGUGAUCAUGCACAACAUAAUCGUGGAGGAUAAGGGUGAGUAUGCUGCCUCAGCUCUUAAAUUUGAGAACAUGUGUGAUUCUAUCGAACUUCCGGAAUAG
rnacentral:rRNA from 1 species